rnacentral:rRNA from 1 species
GAUCCUGGCUCAGGAUGAACGCUAGCGGCAGGCCUAAUACAUGCAAGUCGAGGGGCAGCACGGUAGCAAUACUGGUGGCGACCGGCGCACGGGUGCGUAACACGUAUGCAACCUGCCUUCAACUGGGAGAUAGCCCGGGGAAACUCGGAUUAAUACCCCAUAACACAGUGAAACAGCAUUGUUUUAUUGUUAAAGCUCCGGCGGUUGAAGAUGGGCAUGCGUUCGAUUAGCUAGUUGGUGUAGGUAAUGGCUCACCAAGGCUACGAUCGAUAGGGGGUCUGAGAGGAUGAUCCCCCACACUGGUACUGAGAUACGGACCAGACUCCUACGGGAGGCAGCAGUAGGGAAUAUUGGUCAAUGGACGCAAGUCUGAACCAGCCAUGCCGCGUGCAGGAAGACGGCCCUCUGGGUUGUAAACUGCUUUUGAUAGGGAACAAAUGCCACUUGCGAGUGGAGCUGAGUGUACCUAUAGAAUAAGCACCGGCUAACUCCGUG